UUUCUUUUUGUCUUUGUUCAUACAGUUCUUUUAACAUUUGUAGUUCUUUUUCUAAUUCAGCAAUCCUACUAUUUUUAGUUUCUUCUAUUUUUCGUAUUUCUUCCGUAGUUUGUUGUUUUAUUUUUUCUAUUUCCUUUUUCCUAUCUAUUUCUUCAUUUUCUCUUUCUAUUCUUACCAUAACUGUCAAUUUAUCUUCUAAUUUUAA
rnacentral:lncRNA from 1 species